AGUUUCUAGGCAUUAUUGGUAAUGUGCUGAUACCAGGGAGAAUAAUGUCACACAGAAAAUUCUACAGGUCAUCUCCAGAAAAAUCCAUCACUCAAAGAAAAUACUUAUGUGGAAUGUCAGAGAAGGGUGUGGAGUCUGGGCCCCAGAAGAAGGAGCUGUAGACAAGAACCAGGAGUGAUGUCAAGUGUGCUAGACGGUUCCUGGAGCAAGAGUGAGGAGUCCCAUCAUUGGGACUCUUCAGCUGUGCGGCUCCAUCCUCUGCUUGUCAUCACAUGGCGUCUUCACGUGGCUGUCUUCCUAUAAGGACACCACUCCCGUGGGUUCAGGAUGACCUCAUCAUAACUAAUUACAUCUGUGACAACUAUAGUUCUAAGUAAAGGAAACUCAAGAAGACAACUUCCAAGUUUUUCUUCCACAGUGUGCAAUGCUUGAGAGACUUAAGAACUGUGUGGAGCAAAAACCCGACAUGCUGACUUUUCAGCCAUUACUUG